rnacentral:lncRNA from 1 species
GACCAUGACAGGGCAGAUCCGUGCCCUCCCAGGUGAGGGAUCAUCAGAGCUGAUCCCGAAUUCCCUGUUUCCCUGCAGGAGGGACACGGACACACCAUCCUGACGCUGCUGUCCCUCGGCGCCGAUCUCCAGGCUCAGGACGGGAAGAGCCGUUCCGCCCUGCACGCGGCCGUGGCCGGGCAGCAGGCGGAGGCCACGCGGAUCCUGCUCCGUGCCGGGCUCCGGGACACUCCGGAUGGCUCGGGAACGCUGGCCCAGCAGCUCGCCAGGAAGCCAGAGGUCAUCCAGGUGUUCCAGGAAUCCCAGGUCACCACGUGAGGCACGAGGAACGGGAGGAGCCCGGUGGAUUUCCGGCCGGCGCGGGCUGAACUUCCUCCUGGUGCAGCUCCUGGAGCAUCCAAACAGCUGAGGCUG